rnacentral:rRNA from 1 species
GACGAACGCUGGCGGCGUGCCUAAUACAUGCAAGUAGAACGCACAGUUUAUACCGUAGCUUGCUACACCAUAGACUGUGAGUUGCGAACGGGUGAGUAACGCGUAGGUAACCUGCCUGGUAGCGGGGGAUAACUAUUGGAAACGAUAGCUAAUACCGCAUAAUAUUGAUUAUUGCAUGAUAAUUGAUUGAAAGAUGCUAUUGCAUCACUACCAGAUGGACCUGCGUUGUAUUAGCUAGUAGGUGAGGUAACGGCUCACCUAGGCGACGAUACAUAGCCGACCUGAGAGGGUGAUCGGCCACACUGGGACUGAGACACGGCCCAGACUCCUACGGGAGGCAGCAGUAGGGAAUCUUCGGCAAUGGACGAAAGUCUGAACGAGCAACGCCGCGUGAGUGAAGAAGGUUUUCGGGUCGUAAAGCUCUGUUGUAAGAGAAGAACGGGUGUGAGAGUGGAAAGUUCACACUGUGACGGUAUCUUACCAGAAAGGGACGGCUAACUACGUG